rnacentral:rRNA from 1 species
ACGUAGGGUGCGAGCGUUAAUCGGAAUUACUGGGCGUAAAGCGUGCGCAGGCGGUCUGCUAAGACAGGUGUGAAAUCCCCGGGCUUAACCUGGGAACGGCGCUUGUGACUGGCGGGCUAGAGUCUGGUAGAGGGGGGUGGAAUUCCAGGUGUAGCGGUGAAAUGCGUAGAGAUGUGGAGGAAUACCGAUGGCGAAGGCGGCCCCCUGGGCAGAUACUGACGCUCAGGUGCGAAAGCGUGGGGAGCAAACAG